rnacentral:rRNA from 1 species
AUUGAACGCUGGCGGCAGGCCUAACACAUGCAAGUCGAACGAGUGGCGGACGGGUGAGUAAUGUCUGGGAACCUGCCUGAUGGAUGGGGCUAACUACUGGAAACGGUAGCUAAUACCGCAUACCAUCAGAUGUUACCCGAUGGGAUUAGCUAGUGGGUGGGGUAACGGCUCACCAAGGCGACGAUCCCUAGCUGGUCUGAGAGGAUGACCAGCCACACUGGAACUGAGACACGGCCCAGACUCCUACGGGAGGCAGCAGUGGGGAAUAUUGCACAAUGGGCGCAAGCCUGAUGCAGCCAUGCCGCGUGUAUGAAGAAGGCCUUCGGGUUGUAAAGUACUUUCAGCGGGGAGGCGUUACCCGCAGAAGAAGCACCGGCUAACUCCGUGCCAGCAGCCGCGGUAAUUC